UUAGCUCAUACUUCUCUCGCGUGUUAUAACAAUCGGUUUCGUGUAAAUAGGAUAAGUAGUUUUGUAAGCUGUGACCUCACCCUUUUCAAUUUUUCAUAUGUACAUCUUCUUUGAUGGAGCGUGUGUCUUGCAGUAUGUCCUGUUGGAUACGAUGCAAUGUAAAUUGAAAUGUAUACAUAGGGACAGUAACGAUGCUGACAUUCAAUCGGUUUGGAACAAAACAACCUUGACUGGAUUGAUAUUCUUCGAUUGCAGCAAAGGACAAGAAAAGGAUGGUAUAGAGUAUUGUGCUUCGUCCUAUCCAGGGGAUGUGAAAUUGCUACGGAAGUAUAUAAACAAGAUAUGUCAAAACUCCAUUUAUGUAAAUUUUGCAUUAAACAAAUGCAACAAUUUUAUUGAAAAAUAGUUGAACAUACCUACUAAAAUAACAAGUAAACAAAACUUUUGAUUGAAGCAUUUGUAUCGUCAUAUUUUCGAAAGAGAAAAUACUGAAGAUUUAAUGGAUGGGACACGACCUUCACGGGAAAUAUUUUUUCCUUCAUAAACAAAAAUAUACUUUUUUAUGAUCAGAAUGCAAGUACUUAAAACAAUACCAAUUAAGAAGAAGAAAAUAGGAGAUAUAAUGCUGGUUAGGAGAACCGGUUGAUGCUUGAUCAUAUCAUUGGAUCCUUUCAUAAAUGAUCUAUAUUUUAAAAAAUUUAUCAUACCAUAGUCGAUGAAUUUCUACAACCUAGAAUAAACUAUAAGAGAUAUUAAUUGAAAA